UACAGAGGUCUCAAGCGUUGUUCGGAUUCAUUGGGCGUAAAGGGUGCGUAGGCGGCGCGGUAAGUCGGGUGUGAAAUCUCGGAGCUUAACUCGGAAACUGCCUUUGAUACUAUCUGUCUUGAAUAUGGUGGAGGUAAGCGGAAUAUGUCAUGUAGCGGUGAAAUGCUUAGAGAUGACAUAGAACACCCAUUGCGAAGGCAGCUUACUACGCCUAUAUUGACGCUGAGGCACGAAAGCGUGGGGAUCAAACAGG
rnacentral:rRNA from 1 species